rnacentral:rRNA from 1 species
UACAGAGGGUGCAAGCGUUGCUCGGAAUUAUUGGGCGUAAAGGGUAGGUAGGUGGUCUCAUUUGUCUGGGGUGAAAGCCUUGAGCUUAACUCAAGAAGUGCCCUGGAAACGGUGAGACUAGAGUUCUGGAGAGGGUCGUGGAAUUCCCGGUGUAGCGGUGAAAUGCGUAGAGAUCGGGAGGAACACCAGAGGCGAAAGCGGCGGCCUGGACAGAUACUGACACUCAAAUACGAAAGCGUGGGGAGCAAACAGG